AAAUGAAUAGACGGGGACCCGCACAAGCAGCGGAGCAUGUGGUUUAAUUCGAAGCAACGCGAAGAACCUUACCAAGACUUGACAUAAUUAUGCAUAGUCAUGAAAGUGAUGAAAUUUAUAACUUGUUAUAAACAUAAUUACAGAUGGUGCAUGGUUGUCGUCAGCUCGUGUCGUGAGAUGUUGGGUUAAGUCCCGCAACGAGCGCAACCCUCGUUUUUAGUUGCCAUCAUUAAGUUGGGCACUCUAAAGAGACUGCCGCAGAUAAUGCGGAGGAAGGUGAGGACGACGUCAAAUCAUCAUGCCUCUUACGUCUUGGGCUACACACGUGCUACAAUGGACGGCACAAAGAGAUGCAAUAUAGCAAUAUGGAGCAAAACUCAAAAAACCGUUCUCAAUUCGGAUUGUGGGCUGCAACCCGCCCACAUGAAGCUGGAGUUGCUAGUAAUCCUGGAUCAGCACGCCAGGGUGAAUGCGUUCUCGGGUCUUGUACACACCGCCCGU
rnacentral:rRNA from 1 species